UGCAAGAAAAGCAAUCUGUAAUGCUAGCUUACAAAUAUCAAACUUGGGUUCAUCAACACAAUCAAUACAUCAAUACAAAACAGCCUUGAUAAUUAAUAAAAAGAAAAGUGAAAAACGCAAGAAAGUGCAUGCUGCUGUUGCAGUACACGAAAUAUUGAGAAAAGAAACAAGAACGUAUCAGCCUAAACAUUUUUGGAUUGACCCAUUAUUUCAUGAACGUCAUACUUAUGGAUUUUAUCAUGCCUUAUAUCCUGUCAUUUUAUUAAACGUGGCUUGAUUCAGAAAUUAUUUUAGGAUGACUGCAACACAAUUUGAGCAACUACUAGAAAUGAUUCUUGGCAUCAGGGGAUUCAAUGACUUCAAUGUCGUAUCAAUAUUUGAUUGGUUUGACAACUGUCACUAACAUAAUCGAUGAAUCGUGUGAAGUAAUUUCGAAUUGCCUGCGAGAAGUUAUGCUCAAAGAGUCCAUAGAAACUGAUGAAUGGCGUAGAAUCGCUAAAAAUUUUGAAAAUACUUGGAACUUUGUACAGUGUAUUGGAGCAAUCGAUGGAAAACAUGUUAUGAUACAGUGCCCUAAUAAUGCCGUUUCGCUGUAUUUUAAUUACAAACACUGGAACAGCAUAGUAUUGCUUGGAAUCUGUAACGCUGAAUACAUUUUUACGUUUGUUAAUAUUGGAGCUUACGGCCGACGUAGUGAUGGAGGAAUUUUCAGGGAUUUUAUGAUAGGAAAUUUGUUUGAAAAGAAAAAAGUGAAUUUACCCGAGUCAGAGUCAAUUUCAAAAUUAGA